rnacentral:rRNA from 1 species
UAGGGAAUCUUCCGCAAUGGACGAAAGUCUGACGGAGCAACGCCGCGUGAGUGAAGAAGGAUUUCGGUUCGUAAAACUCUGUUGUUAGGGAAGAAAAAAUGUAUAGUAACUAUAUACAAAAGAGACGGUACCUAACCAGAAAGCCACGGCUAACUACGUGCCAGCAGCCGCGGUAAUACGUAGGUGGCAAGCGUUGUCCGGAAUUAUUGGGCGUAAAGCGCGCGCAGGUGGUUUAGAAAGUCUGAUGUGAAAGCCCACGGCUCAACCGUGGAGGGUCAUUGGAAACUAAUAAACUUAAGUGCAGGAGAGAAAAGUGGAAUUCCUAGUGUAGCGGUGAAAUGCGUAGAGAUUAGGAGGAACACCGGUGGCAAAAGCGGCUUUUUGGCCUGCAACUGACACUGAGGCGCGAAAGCGUGGGGAGCAAACAGG